rnacentral:tRNA from 1 species
GGGGAUGUGGCUCAAGCGGUUAAGUGCUCACCUGGCAUGCGCGGGGUGCUGGGUUCGAUUCUCAGCACCACA